ACAUAUUGAGCCCUGAGGCUCAUGUUUGCUUAUGGAGUAUGAAAGAAUACAAGGUGCUGAACCCUUGAGCUGGAGCCCGGGAGUCGAUUAUAUAGUACAUGCCACGAACGACCGAGCUUCAUUACACGGUAAUUAAUGCUAAUAAAUAGGGAAGUUACUAGAAACAACAACUAUAACUCUCGACAUUAUUGGUAACAUGGGUCUUCACUGCCCUUCAUGUG
rnacentral:lncRNA from 1 species